rnacentral:rRNA from 1 species
AUGCUCACAGCCCAUCUGCCCAUCGCUCUCAUUAACUUCCCCAUCUCCCUCCAACAUCUCUUUUGCUCUCCCAUAUCCUCCUCCGUCCUCGUCUCCGGCGACAUGUCCGCUUCAUCUUCAUCAUCUCUCCUCGUCCCGGCGGACUGGCUGCUACCCCUGAUGGCAUGUCCACUCUGCGGCCACGAGUUAGUGACAGCCGUCGCAAGGAGUGGGAACAACGUUGGGCAUCGAUUCUACAAGUGCAUUCGCUACGAUUCAAGGCAGUGCCGUUUCUUCGAGUUCCAGCGUGCGUACUGCAUGAGGAUGACUCAUGAGCAGAUCCUGGCUGUGCAGCACCAGGCCGGAUGGCACCCACCCGGGUUUGGAUUUGCGCCCCAGCAGGGCAAUGGUCCUUCUCAGAUGGUUCCUGCUGCCAUCCAGCCCCAGAUCCAGGCGCAAUUGCAGCCGCAGAUGCAGCCGCAGACGCAGCCUCAGAUCCAGGCUCCGAUGCAGCAGCUUCCCCCGGCGGGCAACAAUAUGAUAGCUGACGCUGGAAGGCCUGCUGCCGGAGUCGGAGCAGCUUAUGGAGCACAAGGCCUAGCUGCAGUUGUCGUUCUUAUGGCUGCAGUGAACAUCAUGCUAACUGUUCUGCUGUUGAUGGUUGUGUUAGCUAAGUAA